rnacentral:miRNA from 1 species
GCAGACACAUUCCAGCCAAUCAGCAGCAGACCCUCCCUCCCAGACCCUCCCACCUCUUGGACAGCUCACUAAGAAUGCAGCUUCACAAUGAAUGUAAAAUGGAUGCUGUCCAGGAGGUGGGAGGGUCUGGGAGGGAGGGUCUGCUGCUGAUUGGCUGGAAUGUGUCUG